rnacentral:rRNA from 1 species
AUUGAACGCUGGCGGCAGGCCUAACACAUGCAAGUCGAGCGAGCGGCGGACGGGUGAGUAAUGUAUGGGGCCUGCCCGAUAGAGGGGGAUACAUACUGGAAACGGUGGCUAAUCACGCAUACUAUCUGAUAACCCAUAUGGGAUUAGCUAGUAGGUGGGGUAAAGGCUCACCUAGGCGACGCUCUCUAGCUGGUAGUAUAGGAUGCUCAACCACACGUGGAAGGAGACACGGCCCAGACUCGUACGGAGGCAGCAUUGGGGAAUAUGGCACAAUGGUCGCAAGCCUGAUGCAGCCAUGCCGCGUGUAUGAAUAAGGCCUUAGGGUUGGAAAGUACUUUCAGCGGUGAGGCGUUACCCGCAGAAGAAGCACCGGCUAACUCCGGGCCAGCAGCCGCGGUAAUAC